GACGAACGCUGGCGGCGUGCUUAACACAUGCAAGUCGAACGGAAAGGCCCUGCUUUUGUGGGGUGCUCGAGUGGCGAACGGGUGAGUAACACGUGAGUAACCUGCCCUUGACUUUGGGAUAACUUCAGGAAACUGGGGCUAAUACCGGAUAGGAGCUCCUGCUGCAUGGUGGGGGUUGGAAAGUUUCGGCGGUUGGGGAUGGACUCGCGGCUUAUCAGCUUGUUGGUGGGGUAGUGGCUUACCAAGGCUUUGACGGGUAGCCGGCCUGAGGGGGUGACCGGCACCAUGGGGCGUGGGUUCCGCCCCGACCCCCGCGGGGGGGCGCAGGGGGGAAUUUUGGACCAUGGGGCGAAGCCCUACUGAGGCAACCCCCGUUGCGGGAGGCGGCCCUCCGGUUUGAAACCCCUUUCCCCCGGUAACAAGGGGUGGGGACGGGUCCUGGAUAAAGAGCCCCCGCUAACCUCCGG
rnacentral:rRNA from 1 species